rnacentral:rRNA from 1 species
CCUACGGGGGGCAGCAGUAGGGAAUUUUCCGCAAUGGGCGAAAGCCUGACGGAGCAAUACCGCGUGAGGGAUGAAUGCCUAUGGGUUGUAAACCUCUUUUUUCAGGGAGGAACACAAUGACGUGUACCUGAAGAAUAAGCAUCGGCUAACUCCGUGCCAGCAGCCGCGGUAAGACGGAGGAUGCAAGUGUUAUCCGGAAUCACUGGGCGUAAAGCGUCUGUAGGUGGUUUAAUAAGUCAACUGUUAAAUCUUGAGGCUCAACCUCAAAAUCGCAGUCGAAACUAUUAGACUAGAGUAUAGUAGGGGUAAAGGGAAUUUCCAGUGGAGCGGUGAAAUGCGUAGAUAUUGGAAAGAACACCGAUGGCGAAGGCACUUUACUGGGCUAUUACUGACACUCAGAGACGAAAGCUAGGGUAGCAAAUGGGAUUAGAUACCCGGGUAGUC